GUGAUAAAAGACUCAGCAAAUAACGUAAGCAUUAGCUCCUCCUUUUAUAUUCUUGUGAAGACCUAAACCAAUUAAUGACAAUAAACAUCUCCAUAGAAUUCCACUUCGUGUUGUGGACUUAGAAUCCCACCGAGAUUCUAACACU